UCCCUACGGGGGGCAGCAGUGGGGAAUAUUGGGCAAUGGGCGCAAGCCUGACCCAGCGACGCCGCGUGAGGGAAGACGGUCUUCGGAUUGUAAACCUCUUUCAGCAGGGAAGACAAAAGGACGGUACCUGCAGAAGAAGCCACGGCUAACUACGUGCCAGCAGCCGCGGUAAUGCGGAGGAUCCGAGCGUUAUCCGGAUUCAUUGGGUUUAAAGGGUGCGUAGGUUGUUUUAUAAGUUAGCGGUGAAAUACCGAUGCUCAACAUCGGGGCUGCCGCUAAUACUGUAGGACUAGAGAUCGGAUGCA
rnacentral:rRNA from 1 species